GUGGGUCGUAGUUUUAUGACACAAACGAUGUUGUUACGUAACCUUGCGCUUUUUUAAGUGGGUAUACGGAAAUUCUUGAUCUUUUCUAGUGGGUAUACGGCGUAUACCUGCGUAUCACGUAGACUACACCACUGUAUGAUAUACAUAAGUAACAAGUAGCCUACAGAAGUCCACUUUGUUCUCCCUCCGUCUCCGUGUUCACUCGGAUGUAACGUUACGUCAUAGCUUACGCUACAUGAAAGUGAAGCUAAAAACAGCCAGUCCUCAAAAAGGCUUGGUGUAGGCUAACUGUACCUGCUACCUAAAGCAUAUUGUUUAGCUUACGCUACUUGUUGGAAGGCUGUGUGUGGUUCAUUGCUAUUGUUAACCUUUUAAAUGAAAAAUGACUGAAGAGGCCGAUCAAUUGGAAGACUCUGUGAAAACUCUCCUUGGACAGUCGUUGAUCUUCAACCCCAAGAAGUCAUAUUGCAGUUCUGAAGUAUUCCCACCAGCUGGAAGAGGGGUACUUGUUAAUUUGCCAUGUGGCCAUCAAAUGACUUCAGACUAUGUCGUUGCUUGGUUUAAGUAUUAUCUUAAACAGAAGGAAACUGAAUUUACCUGCCCUAGAUUUCAUGAGGGUCGGGGCAAAGCAAAGCUGUCUUAUCAGGCUAUCUGUCAAUGGAUACCACUGACACCCAAACAAAAGGAGUUCUGGGAAGAGAACCUUUCCAUACUUGCUGCUAGGAGGCUGUGUGACUUUAAAGCAUGUCCGGGGUGUCAGUCUUGGGUAGAACGACGAGAUCAGAGAAACCUGUGUGUACAUUGCACUCUGUGCACAGCCAACAUGAAACGGACUUUCUUCUUCUGCUGGAAAUGCGAAGGAGAAUGGAAGGGGCCGGUUAAUUAUGCUGUUGAGUGUGGCAAUAACGGCUGUGGACAGAAAGUGGAAGCCCCAGAUCCUCUUGUGAAAUGCAAAUCUGAGUUUAAACAAGAAAUGCUGAAAAAAGAGGGGGAUGAUAUUUACCCAACAAAGGACAAAUCCCCAGGCAGAAAACGUUUGGCUCUGCUUGUCAACAAUGUUGAGUUUGAGUACAUAGAUGACAGGAUUGGGGCAGAUAAAGAUGAGCAGAGUAUGGAAAGGCUGCUAACGGCUUUGGGUUACACUGUGGUCACACUCACAAAUCUCACUGCACAGGGUAUGACUGCUGCUAUGCAAGACUUUGCCCAGCGAGAGGAGCAUUUACAGUCGGAUAGCUGCUUUGUAGUGUUCAUGUCGCAUGGAAAUGCCACUGGAAUCUGUGGGGUUUCCACCCAAGAAAAGAAAGAGGACAUUUUCCUCACCGAUGAAAUUUUUAAAUGUUUGAACACUCCAAACUGUGCUGGAUUGCGGGACAAGCCAAAAAUUAUCCUCAUCCAGGCAUGUCGAGGAGCUAUGGAAGGCAGUGUGGAUGUCCCGGACAGUGUGCCAAUAAACAACAGAGGAAGAGAGCACCGUGAAAAAGACUUCUGUUGCCUAAGAUCCAGUACGCCAGAGACGUUGUCCUACAGGAACAAAGAGAAAGGCUCAAAUUUCAUCCAAGAUGUUGUGAAAAUAUUUCAUCAGCAUGCUCACCAGGACCACAUUGAGGAGCUCUUUAGAAAGGCAAAGUCACAUUGAAUAGUUUUGAUGUUUUGUUCAGCAGGGCCAGUAACACUGUGAAAUUAUAGUACCCAUCGUGAAUACUGCUAAUCAUAAAAAGGGCUACAUCCUUGUUGUUUAGGAAGGCUGUCGUGGUUUGCUUUAUUAACAGGGUGCACCAGUGAUGUCCUUGCCAAAAUAAGACACUACUGAAGUUUUACCUUUAAUAGUUAGGUUGGAAUUGAGUCCGUUAAAAAUGUAUAAUAACCUCCACAAGGCUACAGUUGUGUUCAAAAUUAUUCAACCCCCACUGAAAUUGAUUGUUUUGGUCGGUUUGACAUUGAUUAUGAUCAUUCAGUCAUCCUGCUUACAAUUAAAUCAAAGAGGCACGUGUAGGUCAGACAAAUAUAACAUUUAUAAUGAAAUAACCACAAAUGUCUUUUCUGAGCUCACAUCAUUAUCAGUUUUAUUCAACCCCCAAGUGACAUUCAAUCUUAGUACUUAGUACAACAUCCUUUUACAGUUAUAACAGCUUUAAAACGUGAAGCAUAGCUUGACACAAGUGUCUUGCAGCAAUCUACGGGUAUCUUCGCCCAUUCAUCAUGGGCAAAAGCCUCCAGUUCAGUCACAUUCUUAGGCUUGCGCACUGCAACUGCUUUCUUUAAGUCCCACCAGAGGUUCUCAAUCGGAUUUAAGUCUGGUGACUGCGAUGGCCACUUCAAAAUGUUCCAGCCUUCAAUCUGCAACCAUGCUCUAGUGGACUUGGAGGUAUGCUUGGGAUCAUUGUCCUGUUGAAAGGUCCAACGUCUUCCAAGCCUCAGGUUUGUGACGGACUGCAUCACAUAGUCAUCCAAAAUCUCCUGGUACUGAAGAGAAUUCAUGGUACCUUGCACACGCUGAAGCUUCCCAGUACCUGCAGAAGCAAAACAGCCCCAAAGCAUGAUUGACCCCCUGCCAUGCUUCACAGUAGGCAAGGUGUUCUUUUCUUGUUCUUCCUCCUCCAAACAUAGCGUUGAUCUAUGGGCCCAAACAGUUGUAAUUUUGUUUCAUCAGUCCACAGAACACUAUCCCAAAACUUCUGUGGUUUGUCCACAUGACUUUUGGCAUACUGCAGUAGACUCUUCUUAUUCUUUGGCGACAGCAAGGGGGUGCGCCUGGGAGUUCUGGCAUGGAGGCUUCAUUACGCAGGGUGCGCCAUAUUUUCUGAGCAGAAACUUCAGUACCCACAUCUGACAAAUCUUUUUUCAGUUCCUCAGCAGUCACACGGGGACUUUUCUCCACUCUACGCUUCAGGUAGCGCACAGCAGUCGAAGUCAGCAUCUUCUUUCUGCCACGACCAGCCAUUGCCCUUCCUGUGAAGAGUAAUCACCUGUUAUCUUGUCUUCCUGGACCAUUCUCUUGACCUCACCAUGUUUGUAACCACACCAGUAAAUGUCUAGAAGGAGCUGAGUAUCACAGUCAUUUUAAAGCUGCCUAAUUGGUGCUUAUUAGGCUUUAUUGCUGCUCCCUGAUAUCCACAGGUGUUUUCAAUACCUGAUUGAAAACACUUCAUUGAACCUCUGUUCUUCAGAGUGGUAGUCUUUAAGGGGUUGAAUAAUUAUGUCAAUGAAGAAUUCACAAAAGAAACAUUUACUACUGUAUUACAAAACUAAUUGAUGUCAUUUUAGUUGCAUAUGGCUCUUUAAGAAGUCCUUGUAGGAUUUCAUUCUGAAUACAAUUACAAAUGUACACUAAAUUCCCUAAAACCAUUUACAGCAUUGGGGGUUGAAUAAUUUUGAACACAACUGUAUACAUGUGUUUGGUUACUGAUAUUUUUUGUCCCAAGCACCUGUGUUCUUUAUUGUAGGCCUACUUAUAUUUUUAGACCAAUCAAAACUGCUACUGAACUUGAUCGCUAGUGAUCACCAAUGUUUUUAGAAAAGAGCCAUCUUGACCUUUUGAUCAUUCAUUUUUCUGUGGAAAGAUUUGAGUGACAUUGGGUAGAAGAUGACUUAAUGUUUAUCUAUGGCACAUGAUCUGCAAAAGGAUUGACAAUAAUUGGUCAUAUUUAGACACCUGAAGGCUUGACACAGUUGCAUACCUCUUUAGACAAACACUUUUUAACCUGUUGCUUUUUAAUGCUGCUUUAUGCUGUUUUUCACUAGUUUUGUUAUGAUGUUUUUAUUUAUGAAACAGGUGCUUAAGGAGUUUAAGGAGAAUCAUCGUGAUCAAAUGCCGUGCAAAGAAAGAACAACAUUGUCUAAAAAGUUCUACCUCUUCCCUGGGCUGUGACAAUACAACCCAUAGCACUACA